rnacentral:rRNA from 1 species
UACGUAGGGGGCAAGCGUUACCCGGAUUCACUGGGCGUAAAGCGCGUGUAGGCGGCUGAUCAAGCGUGAUGUGAAAUCUCCGGGCUCAACCCGGAAACUGCAUUGCGAACUGGUCUGGCUAGAGUGCAGGAGAGGGCAGCAGAAUUCCUGGUGUAGCGGUGAAAUGCGUAGAUAUCAGGAGGAAUACCAGUGGCGAAGGCGGCUGCCUGGCCUGUAACUGACGCUGAGACGCGAAAGCGUGGGGAGCGAACCGG